rnacentral:rRNA from 1 species
GAGUUUGAUCCUGGCUCAGGAUGAACGCUGGCGGCGUGCCUAAUACAUGCAAGUCGAGCGGCAGCGCGAAUAGUUUACUAUUUGGCGGCGAGCGGCGGACGGCUGAGUAACACGUAGGAACGUACCCCAAAGUGAGGGAUAAGCACCAGAAAUGGUGUCUAAUACCGCAUGUGCUCUAAGGAGUAAAGCUUCGGCGCUUUGGGAACGGCCUGCGUCCGAUUAGCUUGUUGGUGAGGUAAAAGCUCACCAAGGCGACGAUCGGUAGCUGGUCUGAGAGGAUGAUCAGCCAGACUGGGACUGAGACACGGCCCAGACUCCUACGGGAGGCAGCAGUAGGGAAUUUUCCACAAUGGGCGAAAGCCUGAUGGAGCAACGCCGCGUGCAGGAUGAAUGCCUUCGGGUUGUAAACUGCUUUUAUAUGUGACGAUUAUGACGGUAGCAUAUGAAUAAGGAUCGGCUAACUCCGUGCCAGCAGCCGCGGUCAUACGGAGGAUCCAAGCGUUAUCCGGAAUUACUGGGCGUAAAGAGUUGCGUAGGUGGCAUAGUAAGUAGAUAGUGAAAGCGUUCGGCUCAACCGAAUAUCCAUUAUCUAAACUGCUAAGCUAGAGGAUGAGAGAGGUUAUUGGAAUUCCCAGUGUAGGAGUGAAAUCCGUAGAUAUUGGGAGGAACACCGAUGGCGUAGGCAGAUAACUGGCUCAUUCCUGACACUAAGGCACGAAAGCGUGGGGAGCAAACGGGAUUAGAUACCCCGGUAGUCCACGCCGUAAACUAUGGAUGCUAGCUGUUAGAAGUAUCGACCCUUCUAGUAGCGAAGCUAACGCGUUAAGCAUCCCGCCUGUGGAGUACGGUCGCAAGACUAAAACAUAAAGGAAUUGACGGGGACCCGCACAAGCGGUGGAGCGUGUUGUUUAAUUCGAUGGUAAGCGAAGAACCUUACCCAGGCUUGACAUCCUUGGAAGCACUGCGAAAGCAGAGUGUGCCUUCGGGAACCAAGUGACAGGUGAUGCAUGGCCGUCGUCAGCUCGUGU